rnacentral:lncRNA from 10 species
AGUCAUAAUGUUAAAGAAUUCAAUAAGCUAUCUCUAAUCUCUGAAGAAAUGCUUUCAGCACUGCAUGAGUUUGAGAGAAAUCAGAUAAAGACAUGUCUUUCAGGUGUCUUUUGGGGUGCCACCAGACAGGUGAAAUAAUGAUUGUUCUUUGGAAUGAGGCUUUGAAAUAGAUUCAGCUCUGCCCUGCUCCCUCCUGUACAAGGAGUGCAAUAUGUUAUUUUUUAAGGCUACUGUUGAGCUAAGGAGUAGGAAAUGAGGUAAGUUAAAACACCACAAAGCUCUCUGUUCUUAUAAGGAUUAAACCAUUUUUUUCUUGACUAAAUGCUCCUUAGGUUGUGUAAGCCUUUGGUUAAACUUCCAGCAUUCUGAAAACGUUGAUUCUGACUUUUUUUUUUUCAGGUUUGAAAAUUUGCUUUUAUGCAAUGGUAAGCUCAGUGGUUUCUAUCCACCCUUUUCACUUGCCAUAUGUAUAUUUAAAGAUGUGUUAUUGAGUGCAUAUAUAUUUAGAAUUGUGACAAUUUCCUAUUGGAGUGAACUCUUUAUUUUUUAAUAAAUUAGCAUUCUUUAUCCUUAGUAAUGUUUUUCUUUAAAGUUUAUUUUGAUUUAUAUUUGCAUAGCUACAUCACUUUUUUCUUUUUUUUUUUUCUUUUAGACAGAGUCUUGCUGUGUCACCAGGCUGGAGUGCAGUGGCGCGAUCUCAGCUCACUGCAACCUCCGCCUCUUGGGUUCAAGCGAUUCUCCUGCCUCAACCUCCUGCGUAGCUGGGACCACAGCCAUGCGCCACCACGACAAGCUAAUUUUUGUAUUUUUGGUAGAGAUAGAGUUUCACCAUGUUGGCCAGGAUGGUCUUGAUCUCCUGACUUCAUGAUACGCCCACCUCGGCGGAUCCCAAAGUGUGCUUACUCAGCAUGAAGAACUGAAGGACUAGAAGGAAACUGCAUGUCUGGCUGUCUCCUAUCUGCCAUUUCUGUUUGGUUAACUUUCAAUCCAUGGUGAACAAAUUCCCCUGCACCUUCACAUUUCAACAUUCAGACUGUCUGCCAUUGUUCAGGAAGCCACGUUCCACAUUUCAUGGCAUAGUACUUCGUCUAAUAGGAAAGUUGAGAAAAAGAAAGAGGUAGUCAAAAGAUACUGUGAAGUACAAGGUUUCUUUCUAAGUAUUCUGAGGUAGGUAAUUCAUAUCCAUUAUGAAUUUAAGUCUCACAAACACCCUAUAGAGUAGGCAAUGAAUUUUAUCCAAUUUUACAAAUGUGUAAAUGAUAUUUUUCAAGGUCAUAUAGCUUAAAGUGUUAUAAGGCAUAAUUGAGAUUCAGUAUGUCUGCCUCCAUUGCCCACAGUCAUAGCUUGUGGACCAUAUGCACUCACAGAGUUGAUAUUAAAAUAUGAUGUUUUAAUUAAACAAAAUAAUGCUUUUUUAAUCAAAUUAUUUUAUAAUGCUAUACAGGCAGCCUGUCAUUAAGUGGAACACCUUAUCUGAGUUGUUAUUUUUUCAUUUUGAAAUAAUUGAGUAACUUUUUAAUAAAGUAUUGUCCUUGUGGAACUUGAAUAUAUAAUAGGAAAUUCAUUGGUUUUAAUAUGGGAUUAGAUAAAUGAAAAUUAUAGUUAACUUCACAAGGAAUCCUAUUUAAUUACCUAGAAAAGUACAAACAUAAAUAAUCAUUGAGGCUCAAUACUUUUCUGCCUAAUAAAGAUUAUUGUUUACUUAAGGAGGGGGACAUAAUAAAUGCUUGAUGCUGAGUCAGUUUUUCCUCUGCGUUUCACAGCUAUAACCAGCUUCUCUAAGAUUUUUUAACAUAGAUGAAGCACACACUUAACUCCAAGGCUGAAUUAUGAUCCAGUAGCCUCUGAAUGCAACCGCACUGUGUUGUAUGAGACAACAGAUAAUUAGAAGGCAUUUCUCAGUGUUCUGUAUGUUCUUACUUUCUAUGUGCCAAUAAAUUUAAAUGAAUUUAGACAACCUCUCCAAAUGACACUGCAAGUUGUACCCACAGCUUAGGCAUUUUUAUACAAUACAAGGUUAUGAUUUUACUUUUUUUUGUUAAGCCAAAUAUUUUACUUCUAAGAUGUUAAUUAAAAUCAAAUCUCUUGACCUAAGUAACUAUAAUAGCAAGAAUUGAAAGAAGACAACAUUUCAAUAAUGACUUUUGUUUGUGCAAAUAAGUCAGUGUUUGGAAUAUUUAUAACUAAAUGAAGGUUUACGUAUAGAACUUCGAGUAUACUACAAUGGCCAGUCUUGCCAAUAAGAUAUCAAUAAUUAAAACAAUGAGUAUACAGACAAGGUAUUUAAUUACAAAGAUGUUCCUUCAUGCCGAUGGUAUUUCACCUGCUUUCAUUGGCUCUGUAUCUUCAUUUUUUUGAAAUGUUUAAAGAUUUACUCUUACACAAAACAACUCUUUUACACAAAUUUUAGAUUUACCUAUAAUCUUGUGUUGUACACACACUUGGAAUCAUCUAAGGGUUAUGGAGGAUAUAACAAGUGAAAAUAGAAACUGAACUUAGUAGCUUUACCUUCCUUGACUUUCAGAUUGGUGAUAAUCAAUGUGAAUUAUUUUGCCAUAAUUAUCCAUUUAAAUGGUAUGUUUAAAACAUUAAUAAGUCUACUUCUUAAAAGCCAUAUAACUGUAAAAAUGUAGUUAGGUGAACUAAGGAGUUAAAAUUAUCUCUCAGUAAGCUAAAUUGGAUUGUCUCCUACUAUUUCAAGAGAAUGUAUUAUAAAAAGAAGCUAUUCCUGCUUACUGUGAAUUCUUGUAUUUUGCUAAGUUCUAAGUACCAGAUAAGCUUUACCAGUUAUAUCCUGCUGUUCAGCACUUAAAAUACAAUGAGUCAGCUCUAAAACAGACCAAACAGCAGCUAUAUAAAGUUUGACUGAUUGUAUGCUUAUCAUCAAAUGAAAUAGAUAUUAUGUCUAAUUAAAUGUUUCCAUGAUACUGUAUAGUGUGUAAACUUC